rnacentral:lncRNA from 1 species
CCUAGAACCAAAACUUGGAAAAUGUCUACAUGGCAAGGAAGCUGGAAAAUGUUUGAAUAUUUUCCUAGUUCCAUGGAAUUCAUUGGGAGAUUUUUAUAAAUGACCUACUACUAUUCAUUUUUGGUAAAAUGUCUAUAAUACCCUUAAUGAAAGGAUUUGUCAUAUUUUGCACAAGAUAUCCUUAAUUUAUUGGGAUAGUUCUAAAUUCCUCUAUUUCUCUCCUUUCGAGUUUUAAUAUAUAAUUACAUUCUUUGAUCUAAUAAACUAGCAUAAUCUGUAAUAUAAUUAUCAUGUAAUUUGCUAAGAUUAUCAUAUUCCUUAGUUGAAAUAUCCAUAGUCUCUAGUUGGGCAAAAAUAUUUCUUAUUUUUUCUAAUAGUUUUUCUAACAGAUUAUCUAAUCCUUUAAUCGUAUAUCCUGGCAUUAUUCAGAUAAUUCCUUGCAAGUUUUUUGAACAUGUUAUAUAAGUUUUUUGUAAACAUGAAAAGUAAUAUUCCCUACGAUUCUUUCAAGAUAUUAGAAGAAUUCUUUCUAAAUUUAACAAAGACAAUAAUUUUACCUUACUUUUGAUCUUAAAUCUGUAUUCUUAGAACUGAGUGACCUUCAGGCUCUGAAUCUGCAAACUGCUCCCUCAAACGGCCUCUUGCCUCAAUGGGAAUUCUGUUAUUUCAACUUCUUGCCCUCACUGUAUCUUUUCUUAGAAUUAAGAGUAAAGAUCUUAAGUAAAGAAAAUUCUUUCUUUGUUAAAGUAAGAAAGAAAUUAUUUUCUUCAAUCUAUCAAGAAUCUAUGGGAUAGGAAAUUUAGAAACUCAUAUCUUUCUGAUAUCAAAAGAUUGAAAUUUCAUUUCUAUAAUUUAUACAAGGUUUCUAUUGUAUACAAGGGGUUUUCAAAAAAACUGGUUUUGAAAAAAGUUUAAGGAAAGAGAAU